rnacentral:rRNA from 1 species
UACGUAGGGGGCAAGCGUUGUCCGGAAUCAUUGGGCGUAAAGAGCGUGUAGGCGGCCCGAUAAGUCCGCCGUGAAAGUCCAGGGCUCAACCCUGGAAUGCCGGUGGAAACUGUCGGGCUGGAGUCCGGAAGAGGCGAGUGGAAUUCCUGGUGUAGCGGCGAAAUGCGCAGAUAUCAGGAGGAACACCAAUGGCGAAGGCAGCUCGCUGGGACGGUACUGACGCUGAGACGCGAAAGCGUGGGGAGCAAACAGG